rnacentral:rRNA from 1 species
AAUGAACGUUGGCGGCGUGGAUUAGGCAUGCAAGUCGUGCGGAAAGGCCCCGCAAGGGGUACUCGAGCGGCGAAAGGGAUAGUAACACGUAGGUCACCUACCUUCGGGACGGGAAUAGCUGGGGGAAACUCCAAUUAAUGCCCGAUAACGUCUCCGGACCAAAGGUGUAAUUCCGCCUGAAGACGGACCUGCGUCCUAUCAGCUAGUUGGUGAGGUAACGGCCCACCAAGGCAACGACGGGUAGCGGGUGUGAGAGCACGACCCGCAUCACUGGGACUGAGACACUGCCCAGACACCUACGGGUGGCUGCAGUCGAGAAUCUUCGUCAAUGGGCGAAAGCCUGAACGAGCGACGCCGCGUGCGGGAUGAAGGCCCUCGGGUUGUAAACCGCUGUCAGUGAGGAGGAAACUCUAGGGGGAUCACCCCCUAGUCUGACCUAUUUGCAGAGGAAGGACGGGCUAAGUUCGUGCCAGCCGCCGCCGUAAUAC